GCCGGGCGUUGUGGCGGGCGCCUGUGGUCCCAGCUACUUGGGAGGCAGAGGCAAGAGACUCACUUGAGCCCAGGAGUUGGAGGUUGCUGUGAGCUGUGAUGCCAUGGCACUCUACCCAGGGGGGCAGCUUGAGGCUCUGUCUCAAAAUAAAUAAAUAAAUAAAUAAAUAAGGAAACUCAUCUGGAGACAUGUUCUAGUUUAGCAAUCUUUAAUUUCAUGCCUCAUACAAAAAGAAAAAUUUUUUUUUUUUUUUGAGACAGAGCCUCAAGCUGUCCCCCUGGGUAGAGUGCCAUGGCAUCACAGCAACCUCCAACUCCUGGGCUCAAGUGAGUCUCCUGCCUCAG
rfam:Otolemur garnettii contig014604, whole genome shotgun sequence.